rnacentral:rRNA from 1 species
AUUGAACGCUGGCGGCAUGCCUUACACAUGCAAGUCGAACGGCAGCACGGGUGCUUGCACCUGGUGGCGAGUGGCGAACGGGUGAGUAAUACAUCGGAACGUACCUUAUCGUGGGGGAUAACGCAGCGAAAGCUGUGCUAAUACCGCAUACGCCCUGAGGGGGAAAGCGGGGGAUCGAAAGACCUCGCGCGAUUAGAGCGGCCGAUGCCUGAUUAGCUUGUUGGUGGGGUAAAAGCCCACCAAGGCGACGAGCAGUAGCUGGUCUGAGAGGACGAUCAGCCACACUGGGACAGAGACACGGCACAGACUCCUACGGGAGGCAGCAGUGGGGAAUGUUGGACAAUGGGGGCAACCCUGAUCCAGCAAUGCCGCGUGAGUGAAGAAGGCCUUCGGGUUGUAAAGCUCUUUUGUCAGGGAAGAAACACCGGCUCUAACACAGUCCGGGAAUGACGGUACCUGAAGAAUAAGCACCGGCUAACUACGUGCCAGCCGCCGCGGUAA